rnacentral:rRNA from 1 species
AUUGGACGCUGGCGGCAGGCCUAACACAUGCAAGUCGAGCGCGCGGCGGACGUGUGAGUAAUUUCUGGGGACUGCCCGAUAGAGGGGGAUAACUACUGGAAACGGUGGCUAAUACCGCAUACUAUCGGAUAACCCAUAUGGGAUUAGCUAGUGGGGGGGGUAAAGGCUCACCUAGGCGACGAUCUCUAGCUGGUCUGAGAGGAUGAUCAGCCACAAGGGGACUGAACCACUGACCAGACUCCUUGGGAGGCAGCAGUGGGGAAUAUUGCACAAUGGGCGCAAGCCUGAUGCAGCCAUGCCGCGUGUAUGAAGAAGGCCUUAGGGUUGUAAAGUACUUUCAGCGGGGAGGCGUUACCCGCAGAAGAAGCACAGGCUAACUCCGUGCCAGCAGCCGCGGUAAUAC